GGUCCCAUAGCUCAGUUGGUUAGAGCGUCGUACUAAUACAACAGUUACAAGUUAUAUCUAGUGAAUGCGAAGGCCGGCGGUUCGAGCCCGCCUGGGACCA